ensembl:snRNA U6 U6 spliceosomal RNA
UUGUUUUGGCAGCACAUAUACUAAAACUGUAACCAUCAGAGAAAAUUAUCAUGGCCUGUGUAAUGCUGGCAACCAAAUUUAUGACCCAUUCCAUUAUUUU